rnacentral:rRNA from 1 species
AAUUUUGCGCAAUGGGGGGAACCCUGACGCAGCGACGCCGCGUGAGCGAAGAAGGCCUUCGGGUCGUAAAGCUCUGUCAUCGGGGAAGAAGACUAUUUACUAAAAAGGUAAAGAGGUGACGGUACCCGAGGAGGAAGCCACGGCUAACUACGUGCCAGCAGCCGCGGUAAUACGUAGGUGGCGAGCGUUGUCCGGAAUAACUGGGCGUAAAGGGCGUGUAGGCGGUUAAACAAGUCAGAAGUGAAAAACUCGGGCUCAACCUGAGUCUUGCUUCUGAAACUGUAUAACUUGAGGGCAGGAGAGGUAAGUGGAAUUCCUAGUGUAGCGGUGAAAUGCGUAGAUAUUAGGAGGAACACCAGUGGCGAAGGCGACUUACUGGCCUGACCCUGACGCUGAGGCGCGAAAGCGUGGGUAGCAAAC